rnacentral:rRNA from 1 species
CCUACGUGCGACAGCAGUGAGGAAUAUUGGUCAAUGGGCGCGAGCCUGAACCAGCCAAGUAGCGUGAAGGAUGACUGCCCUACGGGUUGUAAACUUCUUUUAUAAAGGAAUAAAGUGAGGCACGCGUGCCUUUCUGUAUGUACUUUAUGAAUAAGGAUCGGCUAACUCCGUGCCAGCAGCCGCGGUAAUACGGAGGAUCCGAGCGUUAUCCGGAUUUAUUGGGUUUAAAGGGAGCGUAGGUGGGUUGUUAAGUCAGUGGUGAAAGUUUGCGGCUCAACCGUAAAAUUGCAAUUGAUACUGGCAGCCUAGAGAACAGUUGAGGUAGGCGGAAUGCGUGGUGUAGCGGUGAAAUGCUUAGAUAUCACGAAGAACUCCGAUUGCGAAGGCAGCUUACCAAGCUGCCACUGACAUUGAGGCUCGAAAGUGUGGGUAUCAAACAGGAUUAGAUACCCGAGUAGUC